ensembl:snRNA U6 U6 spliceosomal RNA
GUGUUUGCUUUGGCAGCACAUAUACUAAAAUUGGAAUGAUACAGAGAAGAUUAGCAUGGCACCUGUUUAAGGAUGACAUGCGUUCCAUAAAAAAAACCCUUUUUCUC